AGGUCUGGAGCUCAGUGGUAGAGCAUUUGCCUAGCAUGCAAGAGGCCCUGGGUUCAAUCCCCAGCACUA
rnacentral:tRNA from 1 species